CCGACGGUGAGGGGUGAAGGCUGGGGGCGCAAACCGGAUUAGAUACCCGGGUAGUCCCAGCAGUAAACGAUGCCAGCUAUGUGUUGCUGGAACCAUGGGUUCCAGCAGUGCCGAAGGGAAGCCGUGAAGCUGGCCACCUGGGAAGUACGGUCGCAAGGCUGAAACUUAAAGGAAUUGGCGGGGGAGUACCACAACCGGUGGAGCCUGCGGUUUAAUUGGAUACAACGCCGGGAAUCUUACCGGAGGGGACAGCAGUAUGAAGGCCAGGCUAAAGACCUUGCCAGAUCAGCUGAGAGGAGGUGCAUAGCCGUCGCCAGUUCGUACCGUGAGGCAUCCUGUUUAGUCAGGCAACGAUCGAGACCCGCAGUCUUAUUUGCCAGCAUGCCCUUUGGGGUGUAUGGGUACAAUAAGACGACCGCCAGCGCUAAGCUGGAGGAAGGAGCGGGCUACGGUAGGUCAGCAUGCCCCGAAUCCUCCGGGAUACACGCGGGCUACAAUGGUCAGGACAAAAGGUACCGACCUCGAAAGAGUGAGGUAAUCCACAAACCUGAUCUCAGUCCGGAUCGAAGGCUGCAACUCGCCUUCGUGAAGAUGGAAUCGGUAGUAAUCGUGACUCAAAAUGUCACGGUGAAUAUGUCCCUGCUCCUUG
rnacentral:rRNA from 1 species